UACGGAGGAUGCGAGUGUUAUCCGGAAUCACUGGGCGUAAAGCGUCUGUAGGUUGCUUGCUAAGUCUGCUGUUAAAGCUUGAAGCUUAACUUCAAAAAUGCAGCGGAAACUAGUAGGCUUGAGUGUGGUAGGGGUAGAGGGAAUUUCCAGUGAAGUGGUGAAAUGCGUAGAUAUUGGAAAGACCACCAAUGGCGAAGGCACUCUACUGGGCCACUACUGACACUGAGAGACGAAAGUUAGGGGAGCAAAUGGG
rnacentral:rRNA from 1 species